rnacentral:rRNA from 1 species
GAUGAACGCUGGCGGCGUGCCUAAUACAUGCAAGUCGAGCGAACAGAUGAGGAGCUUGCUCCUCUGACGUUAGCGGCGGACGGGUGAGUAACACGUGGAUAACCUACCUAUAAGACUGGGAUAACUUCGGGAAACCGGAGCUAAUACCGGAUAAUAUAUUGAACCGCAUGGUUCAAUAGUGAAAGACGGUUUUGCUGUCACUUAUAGAUGGAUCCGCAUCGCAUUAGCUAGUUGGUAAGGUAACGGCUUACCAAGGCAACGAUGCGUAGCCGACCUGAGAGGGUGAUCGGCCACACUGGAACUGAGACACGGUCCAGACUCCUACGGGAGGCAGCAGUAGGGAAUCUUCCGCAAUGGGCGAAAGCCUAACGGAGCAACGCCGCGUGAGUGAUGAAGGUCUUCGGAUCGUAAAACUCUGUUAUUAGGGAAGAACAAAUGUGUAAGUAACUAUGCACGUCUUGACGGUACCUAAUCAGAAAGCCACGGCUAACUACGUG